GACGAACGCUGGCGGCGUGCUUAACACAUGCAAGUCGAACGGAAAGGCCCUGCUUGCAGGGUACUCGAGUGGCGAACGGGUGAGUAACACGUGGGUGAUCUGCCCUGCACUUCGGGAUAAGCCUGGGAAACUGGGUCUAAUACCGGAUAUGACCUUCCAUGUAGUGUGGGGGGUGGAAAGAUUUAUCGGUGUGGGAUGAGCCCGCGGCCUAUCAGCUUGUUGGUGGGGUAAUGGCCUACCAAGGCGUCGACGGGUAGCCGGCCUGAGAGGGUGGACGGCCACAUUGGGACUGAGAUACGGCCCAGACUCCUACGGGAGGCAGCAGUGGGGAAUAUUGCACAAUGGGCGGAAGCCUUAUGCAGCGACGCCGCGUGGGGGAGGACGGCCUUCGGGUUGUAAACCUCUUUCGACAGGGACGAAGCUUCGGUGACGGUACCUGUAUAAGAAGCACCGGCUAACUACGU
rnacentral:rRNA from 1 species